CAAAGCUGGAGCAACUGUCAGCCCUGGGCUGCCACAGCAGCAACCCCCAAGGCUGGAGCAGCAGUUAGAGUUGCAUUAGCCCCUACUGCAGGAGCAGCGGCAGGACUGGAACAACUACUGGAGGUGGAAAGGCUAGGGAAACCAGUUCAACCAAGUUUCUCUGCAGGGGACUAGAGAAAGAGAAAGAGGAAAAUUCCCAGCAGCAGAAUAAGGAACCAGGUAUUGUUGGGGAGAUUCACUCAGACAGGAUGCUUUGGGGAGGAUUUUUGUAGCAGGAGGGCCUGGUUUAAAUGACCAAGGGCAGAGAAAGUAGCUGAGGUACUGUGAUUCUGAAGAGAAACCAAGAACUGCAAGAGAAGGAUCCUGUCCCAUAGUCAAGAACUGUCUGGAGUGGGGAGGAACCUGAAGCAGGGAAAUGCUUAUAGCCUCCUGGGUUUCUGGUCUCUGCUGAGAUGACGCUGUCCAAUGUCCCAGAAAUCCCAAAAUGACUCAGUCUCCUUUGGAGUCAUGUUGUCUUUUUCCUUCCUCCACAAUUGCUCCAGUGUGAGAGAGCAGUCGUCAGACAGAAGAUCUGGAAAAUGUGACUUGAAAGUAAACCACCAUGUCCACUAGAUGGAGCCACAAACCAUCAAAAAUUUCAGAGACUGCUGCAAAGCAAGAAUUUGAUGCUGGUGUUAGAUCCACAAGAAGAAAUUGCAUUUCUAGGAGUGAAACGAAGUGUAAGGACAAGAAAAAAGCAAUAAGAACUGAUGUUCUAAGUAGAGUUUUAAAUACUUAAAGUACAAAACAAAAAGGAUUCAGUAUUGGUGCAUCGGGGGUAUGUGAAUGAGUGAGGAGAGACUACAUUGGCUUAAAAUCCAGUAGUGCUUUAUUGCAGCCAGAGCCUCCACAUAGACAAGACUGGUCUCCCCUGAGCUGUCACCAGGCAGCCCCCUCCCCCGGACAUGUUAUCUUUUAUAUCCCGUUCUUUCAAGUAAGAGCCAUUCUGCAAUCCAGCAACUGUGGGCGGAGAGAGACCCAUUACACCAUCUUCCUGUAUUUGCGUAGCUUUUCUUCACUGCCUCCUACACUUCAUCUGCCAGUGUUUUCAUCUACCCACUCUUCCAUUUUCAAUUCAGUUCCUUUUCAGCUGAUUUCCUUUACUCUGGAAGGCUUUCCAGCAGAUUUUUCCCUCAUCACCUGACUGCUUGGCUUUCCUCGGGUCACUUUCUCACACCUGACAUAGAACUGUUCCUCUAGGUACCCAUAGCACAUAAAUAAACUGAACCGCUAACUGUUUAUUCAUGCAUCCUGCCGGGGCAGCUCUAGGCAUUUUGCCGCCCCAAGCACGGCAGGCAGGCUGCCUUC